GACGAACGCUGGCGGCGUGCCUAAUACAUGCAAGUAGAACGCUGAAGGAGGAGCUUACUUCUCUGGAUGAGUUGCGAACGGGUGAGUAACGCGUAGGUAACCUGCCUGGUAGCGGGGGAUAACUAUUGGAAACGAUAGCUAAUACCGCAUAAGAGUAGAUGUUGCAUGACAUUUACUUAAAAGGUGCAAUUGCACCACUACCAGAUGGACCUGGGUUGUAGUAGCUAGUUGGUGGGGUAACGGCUUACCAAGGCGACGAUACGUAGCCGACCUGAGAGGGUGAUCGGCCACACUGGGACUGAAACACGGCCCAGACUCCUACGGGAGGCAGCAGUAGGGAAUCUUCGGCAAUGGACGGAAGUCUGACCGAGCAACGCCGCGUGAGUGAAGAAGGUUUUCGGAUCGUAAAGCUCUGUUGUAAGAGAAGAACGAGUGUGAGAGUGGAAAGUUCACACUGUGACGGUAUCUUACCAGAAAGGGACGGCUAACUACGUGCCAGCCGCCGCCGUAA
rnacentral:rRNA from 1 species